rnacentral:lncRNA from 1 species
ACUAUUCUUACCUCAUCUUCUAGAGACUGUAUGGAACCUUACAAAUGAUGAUGGCAAAUCCUCCAGGACCCUAUUGAACGGUUCUCUCCCUUGCCUUUAAGUUCUUCUCCCCAGCUAGGGUUCACAGGGCUACUUUCCUGACAAUCGGGUGAAGCUGACUAUAUGACCUCAGAUCUACCCUUCUCUCUUCGAUGCCCUGUUCUGGGACUGCAGAGGCUGACUCAUGGAUUUCACUGAUGAGCUGUCUUGCUAUUCAGGUUCCAGGUGGAUUUGGCUGAUGGAAGGAGAGGGAAUCAAGCUCCUGAGUCUUCAGUCUUCCCUUAAGGAGGAGAAAGAAGAGACCAGGAAUGGCCAUGAUGGUGAUGUCAAUGUGGGGUGCUGCUGGGUAAAAAUAUAUAAGAGAAAGGCCAUCAAGCUCCAGAUGAUCCUCAGUGAGGGAUACUGCUCUCUCAGUAUUCAAGAGUCACCCUUCCACAGAGAACCCCUAGACUGCCCAUCAGUGGAAUAUGGAGAGCCCGCACCAGAUGCAACUCCUACAGAAGAGGGGAGUCCUGAACUGACUGAGCAAACUCUCAGAACUGAUCAUGAUUCACAUUUUUACCCUUGA